rnacentral:rRNA from 1 species
GACAGAGGUGCCAAGCGUUAGGCGGAAUCACUGGGCUUAAAGCGCGUGUAGGUGGCGGCCUAAGUACCUUGUGAAAUCCUGCGGCUCAACCGCAGAACUGCUUGGUAUACUGGGUCGCUUGAGCCAUCCAGGGGCAACUGGAACAAGCGGUGGAGCGGUGAAAUGCGUAGAUAUCUGGAGGAACACCGGUGGCGAAGGCGGCAUCCUGGACCAACACUGACACUGAGGAGCGAAA